rnacentral:rRNA from 1 species
UACAUGUGGGGCAAGCGUUGUUCGGAAUUACUGGGCAUAAAGGGUGCGUAGGCGGCUUGUUAAGUCAGGGGUGAAAGUUUUCGGCCCAACCGGAAAAUUGCCUUUGAUACUGGCGAGCUCGAGUGCGUGAGGGGUAGGGGGGAACGAGCAGUGUAGCGGUGAAAUGCGUAGAUAUUGCUCGGAAGGCCGGAGCCGAAGGGGCCCUACUGGUACGUAACUGACGCUGAGGCACGAAAGCGUGGGGAGCAAACAGG